AGAGUUUGAUUCUGGCUCAGGAUGAACGCUAGCUACAGGCUUACACAUGCAAGCGAGGGCAGCGGAAGGAGCUUGCUUUCUUGCCGGCGACCGGCGCACGGGUGAGUAACGCGUAUCCAACCUGCCCGCGGCUCAGGGAUAGCCUCUGAAAACGAGAUUUAAUACCUGAUGGUCUUGUUGGUUGACAUCAAUUGACAAGUAAAGAUUUAUCGGCAGCGGAUGGGGAUGCGUUCCAUUAGGUUGUUGGCGGGUAACGGCCCACCAAGCCGACGAUGGAUAGGGGUUCUGAGAGGAAGGUCCCCCACAUUGGAACUGAGACACGGUCCAAACUCCUACGGGAGGCAGCAGUGAGGAAUAUUGGUCAAUGGGCGAGAGCCUGAACCAGCCAAGUAGCGUGAAGGGAUGACUGCCCUAUGGGUUGUAAACCUCUUUUAUACGGGAAUAAAAUGCGCCACGUGUGGUGUUUUGCAUGUACCGUAAGAAUAAGCAUCGGCUAAUUCCGUGCCAGCAGCGGC
rnacentral:rRNA from 1 species